GUCAGUGUGGGGGAGGGGAGGACUGCGCAUGCACGGGGGUUGACUGCAUUGGAAGGGAACCAUACUUGAAGUUGAGAUGCUUAAAAAAGAAUGGGAAGAAUGGAAACAAGCAACCUCGGGAGGAAGACCCAACAAGCAGCUGAAAAGAGAUGCAGAUAUUUACACCCAACCAAUGUAAAGAAGCUGUUGACUCCUGUGGUUGAAUUAGGGGAAUGCUGAAAGAAGCUGAGGAGAAGGGCGACCCUGUAGGAGGACCAGCAGUCUCAAUUAAUUUGGACCCCCGAGAUCUCAUAAACACUGGGCUACCAACCAGGCAGCACACACCAGCUGAUAUGAAGCCUCCAACGGAAAACUGUUGGGUCUGGGUUUAGUCAGAGAUGAUGCACCUAAAGCCUGGAUGACCCAGGGAAUUUAGAGGGUGCAUAUUCCUCUACUCCUCAUGGGUGUGGACAUGUUUCAGGAUGCUUCAGAGGUUCUUUGGAAGAGGAAGGGGGUCUCCAGAAACUCUUAGUAUGCCUUUGAGAACAGCUCUUCAUUCAAAAGGUGCUAUCACCUAAAUCUGCGACAUUAUCAAUAGCUGAUAAAUCUCAGGGAACCAGAUCUGCAUGUGAUAUACAGAUAUACCUGUAGGCAAAAAAGAAAGAAAAGAAAGAAAGAAAGAAAGGAAGGAAGGAAGGAAGGAAGGAAGGAAGAAAAGAAAAGAAAAGAAAGAAAAGGAAAGAAAAGAAACCCAUGCAUACAAAAUAAAAUUCUACAAAAUUAUAAUAUUCAUGAUGACUUUUGUAUUAGGCAUACAGAAGAGAAGAUUUAUUUUGCAAUAACUGAUGUCUCAUCCUGCAGACACUAAGUGGUUUAGAACUUCUGCAUGAAUACUGCUUUAUUUAUUUCUGCUAGAAACCUGGAAUCUGCAUGCCCCGAAGCUGAAGGUCUUUGUCCCCAAUUGGUUUCUUGAGGGAGAAUCGCCAUGGCUUGGAGUAGAAGGAUAGGAUGCAAGAGCUACAGGAAAUAAAACCAACCAUGUGAGACUGAAGGGAAGAAAGUACACACUUACUGUACUGGAACACUCUAGGAAACAUUUGUUGCAGAGAACACAUCAUUUUUCAUUUAGAUGGGAAAACAAGGUCUGGACAGCUCAACUGUAUUUUGAUGGAGACCAAAGCCAGCUCUGCUGUAAUGUCCAGAUGAGACACAGGGUCCACCCUGCUCCUUACCUGGUGGUGCAGGUGUUGAGCAGUAAUGCUAUCUCUCCCGAGUGUAUGACCCCGUGGGAGCUUACCUGACUGACAGAGAUGAAAGGUGAGUGUGUGGGGGCAUCACCUCUGUGCCCAUGAUACCCUACUGCAGACAAGUAUCUAAGCAAUUUGGGAUCGUCUGGUGGAACAUACAUCAACCAUUAUGAUCUGCUGUGAAAAAUCCAUUGAUCUUCUCGUAAACCUACACUUGCCUAUCAAAUAAGAAAAAGGCA
rnacentral:lncRNA from 1 species